CCUGUUACACGCUGUCUCGUCGUUUUACCUCAAGCAUUUCACGUGAGUCACCGCGAAGUUUCUGCAAUUUCCCCCAUUCUCGAGCUCUGACGCCAGUUCCAACCCUAGCCCUAGUCCUAGAUGCUCACAAAUCAACUUCGAAGACUAACCCGUUCAUGGCGGACAUGCCAUCGGAUAUUCUUAUCGAAGUCCUCUGCCGGCUGCCAGUCCGGUCGCUUCUUCGGUUCCGGUCCGUGUCCAAGCCAUUGCGCUCUCUGAUCGACAGCACGGGUUUCAUUGAUCUCCACCUCAAGAACUCCAUAGAGACAAGCUCUAACCUCAGCAUCAUGAUCCGGAGGGACUCCGAGAUCUAUCUUAUCAACCUUGACGCCUUAAGCGAUGCCGUCUUGCUCGCUUACCCUCUGAUGUGCUACAGCAAUAAGAUCUUAAUCCUGGGCUCCACCAACGGCUUGAUCUGCAUCUCUAACGCGGCCGAAGACAUCGCUCUGUGGAACCCAUCGAUCAGAAGGCACAAAGUCUUGCCCUUUUUGCCCAUUGAGCGAAUCGAGUCGACCUGGCUGGGCACGCGGUCAUUCGGGUUCGGGUACGACCCGGUGAGCGAGGACUACAAGCUGGUGAGGAUUUUGCAGUUCAUCAAUUUGGAUAACGAAGGGUUUGUGUCCAAAGUUCAGGUUUAUAGUCUGAGAGCGAACGAGUGGAGAGACUCUGAGGAUAUGCCUUAUGUUCUGUGUUAUUGGUGGAAGAAGGGGACCUUCGCAAGUGGUGCUUUGCAUUGGGUGGUGAACCGGAAGUUCAACGUCAAAAAGCAUGAGGGUGAUCUGAUUGUCGCUUUUGAUCUGACGGUUGAGAGAUUUAGGGAGGUCCCAUUGCCCGAGUGUACGGAGGAGAGAUCGGAGGAGAGAUUUCGCAUUGAAGUGGGCGUUUUGGGUCUGUGCGUGUAUAUGAAAGCGACUUACCCAAAUGUUGGUAUCGAUGUUUGGGUGAUGAGGGAGUAUGGGGUCAAGGAGUCUUGGGCUAAGCUGUUUUCGGUUGCAAAAGCUGAGUCUGUUGGGUCGUACAAGUAUUUGAGGCCGUUGGCUUAUUCCAGGACUGGUGCGGAGGUUCUGUUGGAGCUUGACAAUCAGAGGCUUGCGUGGUACGAUUUGAGGAGGAAAAGGGUCGAGAAUGUGAGUGUUGGCGGUUUGCCGGAUUGGUUUGAGGCCGAAGUUUUUGUCGGAACUCUUGCCCCGGCCGCAGCGAGUCGAAGAGAUCAUGGGAAGAAGCAGAGUUUAGAAGAGGAGAAAAAUAAGAAAAAUAGGGAUGAUUUCCUGUCAGAGGGCUUCAAAUUGGUGCUAUAAGCAAACAUAAGGAUGAACGGAAGCGUGGAGAAGAUGUACUUUUGUGAAUUUGGAAGUGUGCCAUCUCGAAUUAAGGGCACCUUCUUCUUCACGUACACUUACAUUUCAGAAUGAAGUUCAGAGGGUAUUUAGUUCCUUCGAGAGGGUGAAAAGUAAAGGGAGAGAGCUAUGCCUGAUCAGCUGAGAAUGCUUGAAGAUGGGAGGAAACAAUAAUCCCAACGAUGUGUACCAAAUGCCUUUACUAGAAUGAGUAUACUUCUUCAGGUUUUUUCCUGAUUAAUGCCAUAUAUUGUCCAAUUGUGUAAGGUGUUGUGUACUCGUAGUUACUAUGGUUUUGAAGCAUGUAUAUACGAAAUAUGUUUGUAUUCCUCUCUAAAUCCACAAGGUUGUUUGACA